GUGCUUGCUGUGACAGCAUAUAUGCUAAAAUUGGAACAAUACAGAGAAGAUCAGCAUGGCCCCUGUGCAAGGAUGACAUUCAAAUUAUGAAGCGUUCCGUAUUGUU
rnacentral:snRNA from 1 species